rnacentral:rRNA from 1 species
UACGUAGGGUGCAAGCGUUAAUCGGAAUUACUGGGCGUAAAGCGUGCGUAGGCGGUUCUCCAAGUCCGUUGUGAAAUCCCCGGGCUCAACCUGGGAAUUGCAUUCGAUACUGGAUAGCUAGAGUUCGGCAGAGGGAAGCGGAAUUUCGGGUGUAGCGGUGAAAUGCGUAGAUAUCCGAAGGAACAUCAGUGGCGAAAGCGGCUUCCUGGACCAGAACUGACGAUCAGGCACGAAAGCGUGGGGAGCAAACAGG